UACGUAGGUGGCGAGCGUUGUCCGGAUUUACUGGGCGUAAGAGCGCGCAGGCGGUCGUACAAGUCAUGUGUGAAAGCCCCCGGCUCAACCCGGGGAACGACGCAUGAAACUGGCAGCUAGAGUACCGAAGAGGGGGGUGGAAUUCCCGGGUGUAGCGGUGAAAUGCGUAGAUUAUCGGGGAGGAACACCUGUGGGCGAAAGGCGG
rnacentral:rRNA from 1 species